CAUGGGUGCGAAGUUUCAAUCCUUUUAAGAUAGAAAUAUCUGUCAAAGACCUGCAAAACAUAUUAACGACAACUCAAGAUAUGAUUCUAAGAUGUUUUGACAUGGCUGUUCGGCUGCUUGCCAAUAAAGAGUCACGUAGGCCGAAAGAAGAAAUCAUAAAUAAUAGAAAGCAUUAUAUGGACAUGCGUUUUUGGAGAAUGGUUGGUUUUGGUAAACUUCCAAAGUACCAUCAGGAUCCUACAACAGAAGAGUUAGCCAAAACACUCGAUUGUUGGCCAUCAAUGAAUUAUUAUAUCACGGGUUGUAGAUAUGUAAGUAUGUGUUCAUUUCGAAUGUAUUUAUAAAGGACACUUCUGUUGUAGGAUCCUAAUGACUGAUAUUUUGCAGGUUCUCAUGCCAUGGAAAUUUAAUGGUUGUCACGCCCUUUUCGUAAUAGAUCAUGUUAAAAAGCAUGUGACUUUUAUCGAUUUUACACCGACUCAAGAUUGGUGUAAACACAUGUCAUACAAGAGGUUCGCGGAAGCGAUUAUCAUGACCUCAAAAAAAUAUAAGAUUGCUUACAGCAAGAAACGUUCUGGAUGGGCGGAGGAUAUCUUUAAGUGGGAACAUACAAUUCAGACUGGUGUUCCAAUUGACUUAAGAGGGUUUAAUACCAGCUACCUCGUUCUACAAGCUAUGGCCAUGUGGGGGAAUGACAGACGACUGAAAUUUGUUGGGGAUGCAAAGACUCUUCGAAGGAACUUUGUGAUUGAUCUUUUAAGUUAUGAGGACAAUUCGUGCCGAUAUGCUAUCCCUGCAAACAUACAACAAAGACUUAUCGAUAUCGCUAAAAAAGAUUAGCUGAUUAGUGAACAGUUGUCGACACAUUUGUGAACACAUUUAUCCAAAACAUUACUUGAAGAUGACUUUGUUAGUUCCUAAGUUCAUGUAAUGUCGUAGAUCUUGGUAGCCAGUUUCAUGUGUGUGUUAGUGCUGUAUAUUUGGACCUGUCAUUUACAUUUACAUGGUGUGUGUUAUUAUUGCAAGUGCUCUAUAGUAUGCCUUUUGAUCUAUGUCAGGUUGCUCAACUUUAUUCUGGUUUGGUGAAGGUUUGUUCCUUCAACUUAAUGCAUCAGUAAUGGUUGCAUUUUCUGGUAGAUAGAACAAUACCAUUCUGUUCUCCAUUCCAAUUUUUCACAUUAUGUUGCCGCCAUAAUAGGUACCACAUGAUGUCACUGGUUGUAUGAUAACAGCUAGAAAAAGAAUGCCGGUAACAGCCGGUAACAGCCAGUGAGCGGGCAAUCAUCAUUUUAAAUCCUAUAUUUUGACUAGAGAGCUAUGCUGGUGAAGUAACUUUGUUUUUUUACUCGUGCAGGAGAUAUGCACAGCCGAUACAUUCCUCAGCAAGAUUACUUCUCAGAGGGACUCUACACGUUCGAUAUUGGGCAGAAUGACCUUGCUGGUGAGUUCUAUU